GAUGAAGAACGUAGCGAAAUGCGAUACUUGGUGUGAAUUGCAGAAUCCCGUGAACCAUCGAGUCUUUGAACGCAAGUCGCGCCCGAAGCCACUAGGCCGAGGGCACGCCUGCCUGGGCGUCACACGCCGUUGCCCCCCCAUCUACUCCUUCGGGAUUGCGGGGGGGCGGAUGAUGGCCUCCCGUGCGCCUAGCCGCGCGGUUGGCAUAAAUACCAAGUCCUCGGCGACGCACGCCACGACAAUCGGUGGUUGCGAAACCUCGGUUGCCCGUCGUGUGCGUUCGUCGCGCAUCGAGGGCUCGAAAAAAUGCUCGGCUCCGGCUGGGCUUUCAACGCGACCCCAGGUCAGGCGGGGUUACCCGCUGAAUUUAAGCAUAUCAAUAAGCGGAGGA
rnacentral:misc_RNA from 1 species